rnacentral:rRNA from 1 species
UAGGGAAUCUUCGGCAAUGGACGGAAGUCUGACCGAGCAACGCCGCGUGAGUGAAGAAGGUUUUCGGAUCGUAAAGCUCUGUUGUAAGAGAAGAACGAGUGUGAGAGUGGAAAGUUCACACUGUGACGGUAUCUUACCAGAAAGGGACGGCUAACUACGUGCCAGCAGCCGCGGUAAUACGUAGGUCCCGAGCGUUGUCCGGAUUUAUUGGGCGUAAAGCGAGCGCAGGCGGUUAGAUAAGUCUGAAGUUAAAGGCUGUGGCUUAACCAUAGUACGCUUUGGAAACUGUUUAACUUGAGUGCAAGAGGGGAGAGUGGAAUUCCAUGUGUAGCGGUGAAAUGCGUAGAUAUAUGGAGGAACACCGGUGGCGAAAGCGGCUCUCUGGCUUGUAACUGACGCUGAGGCUCGAAAGCGUGGGGAGCAAACAGGAUUAGAUACCCUGGUAGUCCACGCCGUAAACGAUGAGUGCUAGGUGUUAGACCCUUUACGGGGUUUAGUGCCGCAGCUAACGCAUUAAGCACUCCGCCUGGGGAGUACGACCGCAAGGUUG